GACGAACGCUGGCGGCGUGCUUAACACAUGCAAGUCGAACGGAAAGGCCCUGCUUUUGUGGGGUGCUCGAGUGGCGAACGGGUGAGUAACACGUGAGUAACCUGCCCUUGACUUUGGGAUAACUUCAGGAAACUGGGGCUAAUACCGGAUAGGAGCUCCUGCUGCAUGGUGGGGGUUGGAAAGUUUCGGCGGUUGGGGAUGGACUCGCGGCUUAUCAGCUUGUUGGUGGGGUAGUGGCUUAUCAAGGCUUUGACGGGUAGCCGGCCUGAGAGGGUGACCGGCCACAUUGGGACUGAGGUACGGCCCAGACUCCUACGGGAGGCAGCAGUGGGGAAUAUUGCACAAUGGGCGGAAGCCUGAUGCAGCAACGCCGCGUGCGGGAUGACGGCCUUCGGGUUGUAAACCGCUUUCGCCUGUGACGAAGCGUGAGUGACGGUAAUGGGUAAAGAAGCACCGGCUAACUACGUG
rnacentral:rRNA from 1 species